UACGGGGGGAGCAAGCGUUGUUCGGAUUUACUGGGCGUAAAGGGCGCGUAGGCGGUCAGCACAAGUCAGUUGUGAAAUCUCCGGGCUUAACCCGGAAAGGUCAACUGAUACUGUGCGACUAGAGUGCGGAAGGGGCAACUGGAAUUCUCGGUGUAGCGGUGAAAUGCGUAGAUAUCGAGAGGAACACCUGCGGCGAAGGCGGGUUGCUGGGCCGACACCGACGCUGAUGCGCGAAAGCCAGGGGAGCGAACGGG
rnacentral:rRNA from 1 species